CAUGCAAGUCGAACGGUAGCAGAAACUAGCUUGCUAGUUUGCUGACGAGUGGCGCACGGGUGAGUAAUAUAUAGUUAAUGUGCCCCAAAGACCGGGAUAGCCACUGGAAACGGUGAUUAAUACUGGAUACACCUUUAUGUCAAAAGAUAUGAAGGGAAAUGUUUUUUCGCUUUGGGAUCAGACCAUAUCCUAUCAGUUAGUUGGUGAGGUAACGGCUCACCAAGGCGAUGACGGGUAGCGGUUCUGAGAGGAUGAUCCGCCACACUGGUACUGAGACACGGACCAGACUCCUACGGGAGGCAGCAGUGAGGAAUAUUGCACAAUGGGGAGAACCCUGAUGCAGCAACGCCGCGUGGAGGAUGACGCAUUUCGGUGUGUAAACUCCUUUUAUAUGUCAAGAAAAUGACGGUAGCAUAUGAAUAAGCACCGGCUAACUCCGUGCCAGCAGCCGCGGUAAUACGGAGGGUGCAGGCGUUACUCGGAAUCACUGGGCGUAAAGGACGCGUAGGCUGUUUAGCAAGUCAGAUGUGAAAUCCAAUGGCUCAACCAUUGAACUGCAUUUGAAACUGCUAGACUAGAGUAUGGGAGGGGCAGAUGAAAUUAGUGGUGUAGGGGUAAAAUCCGUAGAUAUCACUAGGAAUACCUAAAGCGAAGGCGAUCUGCUGGAACAUUACUGACGCUAAGGCGUGAAAGCGUGGGGAGCAAACAGGAUUAGAUACCCUGGUAGUCCACGCCCUAAACGAUGAAUGCUAGUCGUCGGGGAGCUCGUCUCUUCGGUGAUGCACUUAACAGAUUAAGCAUUCCGCCUGGGGAGUACGGUCGCAAGAUUAAAACUCAAAGGAAUAGACGGGGACCCGCACAAGUGGGGAGCAUGUGGUUUAAUUCGAAAUACACGAAGAACUUACCUGGCUUGACAUGGUAGGAACCCUUAGAGAUAGGGGUGCUAGCUUGCUAGACUACACCAGUGCUGCACGCUGUCGUCAGCUCGUGUCUGAAAUGUGGGUAGUCCGCACGAGCGCAC
rnacentral:rRNA from 1 species